GGAAGUGUGCCCGAACGACCAAGGACCACUUUGAUAGAGUGGCUUAUAGGGGUUCAAACCCCCUCACUUCCU
rnacentral:tRNA from 1 species